rnacentral:rRNA from 1 species
GACGAACGCUGGCGGCGUGCUUAACACAUGCAAGUCGAACGGAAAGGCCCUGCUUUUGUGGGGUGCUCGAGUGGCGAACGGGUGAGUAACACGUGAGUAACCUGCCCUUGACUUUGGGAUAUCUUCAUGCAACUGGGGCUAAUACCGGAUAGGAGCUCCUGCUUCAUGGUGGGGGUUGGAAAGUUUCGGCGGUUGGGGAUGGACUCGCGGCUUAUCAGCUUGUUUGUGGGGUAGUGGCUUACCAAGGCUUUGACGGGUAGCCGGCCUGUGAGGGUGACCGGCCACAUUGGGACUGAGAUACGGACCAGACUCCUACGGGAGGCAGCAGUGGGGAAUAUUGCACAAUGGGCGGAAGCGUGAUGCAGCAACGCCGCGUGCGGGAUGACGGCCUUCGGGUUGUAAACCGCUUUCGAAUGUGACGAAGCGUGAGUGACGGUAAUGGGUAAAGAAGCACCGGCUAACUACGUG